GUUUGGACCCCUGACAAGAACAGGUUUGUAAAGUCCGUCAGGUCCGGAAGGAAGCAGCGGUAGCAGAUUCUGUUCUGGGUUAGGAAGUUCUGGAUGGA
rnacentral:SRP_RNA from 1 species